rnacentral:rRNA from 1 species
CCUACGGGAGGCUGCAGUGGGGAAUAUUGGACAAUGGGCGAAAGCCUGAUCCAGCCAUGCCGCGUGUGUGAAGAAGGCCUUCGGGUUGUAAAGCACUUUCAGUGGGGAAGAAAGCCUUGGGGCUAAUACCCUCGAGGAAGGACAUCACCCACAGAAGAAGCACCGGCUAACUCCGUGCCAGCAGCCGCGGUAAUACGGAGGGUGCGAGCGGUAAUCGGAAUUACUGGGCGUAAAGCGCGCGUAGGCGGUCUGAUAAGCCGGUUGUGAAAGCCCCGGGCUCAACCUGGGAACGGCAUCCGGAACUGUCAGGCUAGAGUGCAGGAGAGGAAGGUAGAAUUCCCGGUGUAGCGGUGAAAUGCGUAGAGAUCGGGAGGAAUACCAGUGGCGAAGGCGGCCUUCUGGACUGACACUGACGCUGAGGUGCGAAAGCGUGGGUAGCAAACAGGAUUAGAUACCCUGGUAGUC